rnacentral:rRNA from 1 species
GACGAAUGCUGGCGGCGUGCUUAACACAUGCAAGUCGAACGGGCACUUCGGUGUCAGUGGCGAACGGGUGAGUAAAGCGCAGGUAAUCUGCCGCAAAGACGGGGACAACGUUGCGAAAGUGACGCUAAUACCGGAUGUUGUGUAGAGGUCGCAUGAUUUUUACACUAAAGAUUUAUCGCUUUGCGAGGAGCCUGCGUCCGAUUAGGUAGUUGGUGAGGUAAGAGCUCACCAAGCCGACGAUCGGUAGCCGGUCUGAGAGGAUGAACGGCCACAAUGGAACUGAGACACGGUCCAUACUCC